rnacentral:rRNA from 1 species
GAUGAACGCUGGCGGCGUGCCUAAUACAUGCAAGUCGAGCGAACGGACGAGAAGCUUGCUUUUCUGAUGUUAGCGGCGGACGGGUGAGUAACACGUGGAUAACCUACCUAUAAGACUGGGAUAACUUCGGGAAACCGGAGCUAAUACCGGAUAAUAUUUUGAACCGCAUGGUUCAAAAGUGAAAGACGGUCUUGCUGUCACUUAUAGAUGGAUCCGCGCUGCAUUAGCUAGUUGGUAAGGUAACGGCUUACCAAGGCAACGAUGCAUAGCCGACCUGAGAGGGUGAUCGGCCACACUGGAGCGGAGACGCGGUCCAGACUCCGACGGGAGGCAGCAGUAGGGAAUCUUCCGCAAUGGGCGAAAGCCUGACGGAGCAACGCCGCGUGAGUGAUGAAGGGCUUCGGAUCGUAAAACUCUGUUAUUAGGGAAGAACAUAUGUGUAAGUAACUGUGCACAUCUUGACGGUACCUAAUCAGAAAGCCACGGCUAACUACGUG